AGCGAACGCUGGCGGCAGGCCUAAAACAUGCAAGUCGAACGCACCUUCGGGUGAGUGGCGGACGGGUGAGUAACGCGUGGGAACGUGCCCUUUGGUUCGGAACAACUCAGGGAAACUUGAGCUAAUACCGGAUGUGCCCUUCGGGGGAAAGAUUUAUCGCCAUUGGAGCGGCCCGCGUUGGAUUAGGUAGUUGGUGGGGUAAAGGCCCACCAAGCCUACGAUCCAUAGCUGGUCUGAGAGGAUGAUCAGCCACAUUGGGACUGAGACACGGCCCAAACUCCUACGGGAGGCAGCAGUUAGGAAUCUUGGGCAAUGGGCGAAAGCCUGACCCAGCCAUGCCGCGUGAAUGAUGAAGGUCCUAGGAUUGGUAAAAUUCUUUCACCGGGGAAGAUAAUGACGGUACCCGGAGAAGAAGCUCCGGCUAACUUCGUG
rnacentral:rRNA from 1 species